UUUACAUUUUUGAAAAUGCCUCAAUUUGUUUGGAUUUUAUAAUUUUAUAAUAGGUGGAUUCUGGUAAUUUAAACUCCCUCUGAAUUUCAUUUCGCG